rnacentral:rRNA from 1 species
CAGCAGCCGCGGUAAUACAGAGGGUGCGAGCGUUAAUCGGAUUUACUGGGCGUAAAGCGUGCGUAGGCGGCUUUUUAAGUCGGAUGUGAAAUCCCUGAGCUUAACUUAGGAACUGCAUUCGAUACUGGGAAGCUAGAGUAUGGGAGAGGAUGGUAGAAUUCCAGGUGUAGCGGUGAAAUGCGUAGAGAUCUGGAGGAAUACCGAUGGCGAAGGCAGCCAUCUGGCCUAAUACUGACGCUGAGGUACGAAAGCAUGGGGAGCAAACAGGAUUAGAUACCCGCGUAGUCCCUGUCUCUUAUAA